UGAGGAAUAUUGGUCAAUGGGCGGGAGCCUGAACCAGCCAAGUAGCGUGCAGGAUUGACGGCCCUAUGGGUUGUAAACUGCUUUUGUUGGGGAGUAAAGUGGGGCACGCGUGCCUUUUUGCAUUUACCCUUCGAAUAAGGACCGGCUAAUUCCGUGCCAGCAGCCGCGGUAAUACGGAAGGUCCAGGCGUUAUCCGGAUUUAUUGGGUUUAAAGGGAGUGUAGGCGGUCUGUUAAGCGUGUUGUGAAAUUUAGGUGCUCAACAUCUACCUUGCAGCGCGAACUGGCGGACUUGAGUGCACGCAACGUAUGCGGAAUUCAUGGUGUAGCGGUGAAAUGCUUAGAUAUCAUGACGAACUCCGAUUGCGAAGGCAGCGUACGGGAGUGUUACUGACGCUUAAGCUCGAAGGUGCGGGUAUCGAACAGGAUUAGAUACCCUGGUAGUCCGCACGGUAAACGAUGGAUGCCCGCUGUUAGCGCCUGGCGUUAGCGGCUAAGCGAAAGCAUUAAGCAUCCCACCUGGGGAGUACGCCGGCAACGGUG
rnacentral:rRNA from 1 species